rnacentral:rRNA from 1 species
UACGUAGGGGGCAAGCGUUAUCCGGAUUUACUGGGUGUAAAGGGAGCGUAGACGGCGAUGCAAGUCUGAAGUGAAAGGCGGGGGCCUAACCCCCGGACUGCUUUGGAAACUGUAUAGCUGGAGUGCAGGAGAGGUAAGUGGAAUUCCUAGUGUAGCGGUGAAAUGCGUAGAUAUUCGGAGGAACACCGGUGGCGAAGGCGGCCAACUGGGCUUUAACUGACGCUGAGGCUCGAAAGUGUGGGGAGCAAACAGG